CUCAAUUUCCUCACUUAUUUCCAUUUUAAUAUAUAGUACUGGUAUUUUUAUAUGCUAUCAAUCGCUUUGUAAUAAAACAGAAAUAAUUUUUAAAAGUAUCACAUUUAAGAUGUAUUACAAACCACUAACAGAGCAAUUGGGAAAGAUGGAAUAGAGCACUAGACUUGGGCUCAGGUUCUAGCACCACAAUUUUCCAAUUCAGGGCAAAACUUUGGCCUCUCUCAAGAGACUAUUUUUCUCAUAUACUCUAAGAUCUUAAUGCUGAUUAAGUCAUGUUAUAUUUGGGAAAGUAUAUGGUAUAAACUAGAAAGAUAAUUACAUAUUAGUUGAAUCUAUAUCAGGUUUUCAUAGGUUAGGGAAAAUAUAUUGUGGUUUUUCUUCCUUUUUAAAUCUGUUAUUCCUGUGACCGAAUUGUUACAGUUUGGUGCAUUCACUAGGAAUGAGUCUAGGCAUUCUGGAUUUUGAGCAUUUGUGAAAAAUCUAAUGAAUGCCACAUUGGUGCUGUGCCCAGAGAGCUUCCUCUAGAGAAGGCUUAUUCCUUGAACUUCCAUGUUGCAUCAGUGCCAGUAGACAGAACCUAUGACAAGAGGAAGCCUUCUCCAAGCCUCCAAAGCAGCACCCUGAAACAUAUAUUCUUAUAGACUUUGUGCUAUAUAGUAUUGAUUUGUCAUGGUUUUCCUUCAAAAGCCAUUUUAGUCUUAACACAAUUAAACAACAGUGCAAUUGUGAGAAUAUAACUAUACUCACUGUAUUUCUUGUUACAAAUGGGCCUUUCCCUGAGGUGGGUCUAGGCUCUUUUAUGGAGACCUGUCAUCUUCAUGUUGGCCUUUGUUCUGAGCCAGCUUUUUCUAAAGACUGGAACUUCCUUCAGUCUGUUUCAUAUCCAAGCCAAAAAACUCUGUACCCGUGAACUCUAUUAAUGAAGCUGUAUUAUACUGUGAUUGGAAACCUUUUUGGGAGUUCCCUUGUGGCUCAGCAGAAACUAAUCUGACUAGCAUCCUUCAGAAUGCAGGUUCACUCCUUGGCCCCGCUCAGUGGAUUAAGGAUCCGGCUUUGCUGUGAACUGUGGUGUAGAUCACAGAUGGGGCUCAGAUCCUCCGUUGGUGUGGCUAUGGCGUAGGCCUGCAGCUAUAGCUCCAAUUUGACCCUUAUUCUGGGAACCUCCACAUGCCAUGGGUGUGGCCCUAAAAAGACAAAAAAAACAAAAAGAGAGAGAGAAAUAUCUUUAAGUUAUUUGAGAAAAUGAGGAGACCUAGAUCACAGCCCUUAUAUCACUGUUAUGACCUUCAUUUGGCAAGUCACCCUUUUAGAUCUGUUUGCUUGAAAAUGAAGUAACAUCUGGGAAAUUGCUAAGGCUUUUUCCAGUGUAAAUUUCUAUUACUCUUUUUAUUAAAAUUUGAGGUGAUAAAAACUUGGUCAUACUGUACAUAAAUGAUUGUUUUACUCAAGAGUUAUUAAUAGUGUAUAAUUUUACAUUGCAGACUUGUCUUCUAAAAAUAGACAAAAGUAUAAUUGUAUUUUUCCCUAAGUGUUUAUUGCUUUAUAUGCUGUAUUUCUUGAUCAGACUUCUUCAUUUUGAGAAGGAAAAUAUUUUUCUAAGGAGAAUCUCUUAUCCUUUUUAUUUCCUACUAGCUCUUCCCCACCCCCACCACCCAAAGAUAACCUCCUCCUGCAUCCAUACUUGAAAAGUAAGUCUCGGAGUUCCCAUCAUGGCUCAGUGGUUAACGAAUCUGACUAGGAACCAUGAGGUUGCGGGUUCAAUCCCUGGCCUUGCUCAGUGGGUUAGGGAUCUGGUGUUGCAGUGAGCUGUGGAGUAGGUCACGGACGUGGCUCGGAUCCCUGGGUUGCUGUGGCUGUGGUGUAGGCCGGUGGCUACAGCUCCAAUUUGGCCCGUAGCCUGUGAACCUCCAUAUGCCGCGGGAGCGGCCCAAGAAAUGGCAAAAAGACAAAAAGACAAAAAAAAAAAGUAAGCCUGACAACCACAAAACCAACAAAGUCUGGGACAUUAUUCUCUGCAGUGAAGAUAGACCAAUGCUUGGCAACUGUGUUGUAAAAAUAUAAUUCAGAGGGAGUAAAUUCAUGCAAAACUGUCACAAAUAGUAUGAUUUAUAGCAUAGCACAGUCAAAAGGGAAAUGUCAUUUCUUCACUUUCAUACACACAUGCGUGCAUACACACACGCAGACACACACGCAGACACACACACACACACACACACACUUGCUUUCCACCAUUUUUGCCUCUGUUCUCCUUAAAAAAAAAAUUUACAGGAGUUCCCAUCAUGAUUCAGUGGUUAAUGAAUCUGACUAGCAUCCAUGAGUACAAAGGUUCAAUCCCUGGCCUUGCUCAGUGGGUUAAGGAUCUGAUGUUGCCAUGAGCUGUGGUGUGGGUUGUAGACAUGGCUUGGAUCCUGCAUUGCUGUGGCUGUGGCUGGCAGCUACAGCUUCGAUUUAACCCCUAGCCUGUGGACCUCCAUAUGCCACCAGUGCAGCCCUAAAAAGACCAAAAAAAAAAAAAAAAA
rnacentral:lncRNA from 1 species